AGAGUUUGAUCAUGGCUCAGAACGAACGCUGGCGGCAGGCCUAACACAUGCAAGUCGAGCGCGCCUUCGGGCGAGCGGCGGACGGGUUAGUAACGCGUGGGAACGUGCCCAGAUCUACGGAAUAGCCACUGGAAACGGUGAGUAAUACCGUAUACGCCCUUCGGGGGAAAGAUUUAUCGGAUUUGGAUCGGCCCGCGUUAGAUUAGGUAGUUGGUGGGGUAACGGCCUACCAAGCCUACGAUCUAUAGCUGGUUUUAGAGGAUGAUCAGCAACACUGGGACUGAGACACGGCCCAGACUCCUACGGGAGGCAGCAGUGGGGAAUCUUGGACAAUGGGGGCAACCCUGAUCCAGCCAUGCCGCGUGAGUGAAGAAGGCCCUAGGGUCGUAAAACUCUUUCGCCUGUGAUGAUAAUGACAGUAGCAGGUAAAGAAACCCCGGCUAACUCCGUGCCAGCAGCCGCGGUAAUACGGAGGGGGUCAGCGUUGUUCGGAAUUACUGGGCGUAAAGCGCACGUAGGCGGAUUAGAAAGUUAGAGGUGAAAUCCCGGGGCUCAACCCCGGAACUGCCUUUAAAACUAUUAGUCUAGAGUUCGAGAGAGGUGAGUGGAAUUCCGAGUGUAGAGGUGAAAUUCGUAGAUAUUCGGAGGAACACCAGUGGCGAAGGCGGCUCACUGGCUCGAUACUGACGCUGAGGUGCGAAAGUGUGGGGAGCAAACAGGAUUAGAUACCCUGGUAGUCCACACCGUAAACGAUGAAUGCCAGUCGUCGGGUAGUAUACUAUUCGGUGACACACCUAACGGAUUAAGCAUUCCGCCUGGGGAGUACGGUCGCAAGAUUAAAACUCAAAGGAAUUGACGGGGGGCCCGCACAAGCGGUGGAGCAUGUGGUUUAAUUCGAAAGCACGCGCAGAACCUUUACCACCCUUGACAUCCUGUGCUACAUUCAGAGAUGAAUGGUUUCCUUCGGGGACGCAGUGACAGGUGCUGCAUGGCUGUCGUCAGCUCGUGUCGUGAGAUGUUCGGUUAAGUCCCGGCACGAGCGCAACCACAUCCCUAGUUGCAGCAGUUCGCUGGCACUCUAUGGAACUGCCGUGAUAGCGGGAGAAGGUUGGAUGACUCCAGUCUCAUGGGCUUACGGGUGGGCUACCCCUGCUUCAGGGCAUCUCGUGGGUUAAUCCCAAAAAUGUCCAUUUCGAUGCUUCUGGCAUCGACCGCUGAAUCGAAUCCCUAGAAUCCCGAAAACCUGCCCGGGGAACCUUCCCGGCCUUGAACCCCCCCCAAACCCAAGGAUUCCCGCCCCCCUGGGGUCCCCUUGGGGAAACCCCCACGGGUGAAGGGAAUUGGGUUUUCUUAAGGCCCCAAAAAUUUUGGGAAACAGGGGAAAUGUUUUCUGGGGAAAAUUUUUCCCCCCCAACCCCCCCCAAACAAACCGGGAAACAAAGGGGAAACCCGGGGGGGCCAAAGGGAGAAACCCCAAAAAUUAUUGUUCCCCCCCGCCCCCCUUUCCCCGG
rnacentral:rRNA from 1 species